rnacentral:rRNA from 1 species
CACGUAGGGAGCAAGCGUUGUCCGGAUUUAUUGGGCGUAAAGAGCUCGUAGGCGGCUCAGUAAGUCAGGGGUGAAACCUCCAGGCUCAACCUGGAGACGCCACCUGAUACUGCUGUGGCUUGAGUCCGGUAGGGGAGCGUGGAAUUCCUGGUGUAGCGGUGAAAUGCGCAGAUAUCAGGAGGAACACCAAUGGCGAAGGCAGCACUCUGGGACGUGACUGACGCUGAGACGCGAAAGCGUGGGGAGCAAACAGG